GUUGUGAUUGCUGUAGGCGUGCUCUGGACUUUCGGUAGUUUUGGCGUGUUGUCUAUCCAGGAUUGAUGAGGAAGAUUGAGUUUUUACUAUUGUUGGGUUUGUUAAUUAGUAAUUUCUCGAUCGUUUUUGUUAUCAAGAUUCGUCUUUUUUUCUGGUUCUUUUGAUGUUCUCGUUGUGGCGUGGCAGAAUCCUAGUCUUCGGUGGGGCUAAAAAGACUUUCUGGAUGCGAAUAUCAUCUACGACACCGGGAGUUUUUCCCUCGCCCUUUUUUUUGGUUUCCUUUUUUAUUUCCUGAAAAAAUUAACUGGGGAGUCAAUUAGCAACUGGCCUUAUCUGUUGUAUUGAUUUAGGGGAGCUUGGAUGCAGGAGGCUCUGGUCAUGUUUUUGUCCUGCUAUACUGGUUUGCAAGAUUCCUGAAGUUUUCUCUGUCUUGAUUGUUUUCAGCUGUUGAUGCUGAUUUGCUCUGUGAGACAGCGAGUUCGUUUUCUGAUCUCCUGCAUUUGUGUUGUGCAAUAUAGGGUUUCAGUGAUUCGGAGUUGUAGUGACAACUGAGCCUUCCUUCCUCGGAUGGUAAACUGUUUUGGAGGGAGUUAUAUUCUUCCAAACAAUCUUGUGCUUUUGUCACCUUUUGAUAUCUGCAGACCUUUUCUUCCCAGGACAAACACCAUUGAAAUAGCUUCCAACCUCUCCAUUCAAUUUGCCUCCACCUAUUUUGCUGCUGCUGCUGCGUUUUGCCCAUUUGUUCUCUUUAGGCUUUUGAAUUUAUUUUGGUUCCCUGCCUUCUGUCUUUGGGAAUGUUCUCAGAUGCUUAGGAUCGUAUCAAUAUGGUAAUAUUGAUGUUGUCAAGUAUUUCUUAGCUUUUAAAUUCUGGUUCUUUUGAUGUGAUCUUAGAAUGAUGGAGUUCUGUGUAUGAAAGUGAAAAGAGCUCUUCCUGGAUGGAUAGAAGCAAAAAGAGCUCUUCUUGGAUGGAUGAAGGGAAGUUUGGAUCGGAGCAUUUUCAUCAUGUUUGUUACCCUGCUAUUCGGGCUUAACAAGAUUUUGGAGGACCUCUAUUUCCCUGGUUGUUUUCUGCUGUUUUGUUGAAGUUGAUUAGGACAUUUGUGGAUUUGCUCUGCUUGUUCUCUAAUUUCCUAUAUUACUAGGGUGUUGCAACUUUGGGUUCCAGUGAUUUGUGAUUCAAACUUGCCUUUCCAUCCUCGGAUCAAGGGCUUGUAAAAUUUUUUGGAGGGAGUUAAUUUCUCACCUACGCUAAUUGUUCUUUUGUGCUUGAGGAAUUUAGGGGGUUGGACACCAUAUUUAUAAUAUAAUUUGUCCGUGAAUCUUUUUGGUCUGCAGCAUGUCAUGCAGAGUCAACUUUCCUGAUCCACUCUGAAUAGAACGGGUUGUAACCAAGUGCAUAUCUUUGCUAUUCAACCAUUUAUUUCUGGAAAAACUGUAUGAAUGCUUUCAACCUACCCAUUCAAUCACCGAAGGUUAGCAUUUUUUUUGGCUUUUGUAUUUGAUGGACUAGCUUAAUCCAGCGCUUUUCUUUGGGGAUGGUUAUGUGCUGCUCAGUAUAUAACAGGAAGUAGAUUCCGUCAUCAAACUUUUGUAUGGUUGGGGUUCCUGGUAUUUUGCUUAUGCAACUUGAUCUGAAGAAGAGUUAAGGCUAUGCAUAUUGGUUUGAUUGAAUGAUAACUUGUUCAGAGUUUUUAUUUGAGGAUUAUUCUUGUCUUUGUGCCAAGUCUUUUGAUCCAUUCCUUUAUUGAGGGUGGUGACGGAACAUGGGCUUUUGGAUGCCAUUUUUUUAGAAUUAUGGGAUGUGAUUCUUCGUGGAAUUAUGCAAUGGAUGUGAAUGUGAUCCUUGAUUUUGCUUUCUGCUUUAUUUUUGCAUUGCUGUAGGCAGCAGUUCUGGUUUUUCAGCAGUCUCCCUAUAGAGUGGAUUGGUAAAAGGACUUGACGCUAAUUACUGUGUUUUGUUCUUGGUGAUUUUUCAAGAUUUGUCUUGUCUUCUGGUUUUUUUGAUGUCUUUCAAGAAUAGUGGAUUUCUGGUGUGUGGAGGCGAGAGUUUUCUCUUGGAUGGAUGUGAAUAAAAUCGGGAUAUCUUUUCAACCUGGUCUUUCUUUGUUCCCUCUGCCUGAAAAAAUCAAGGUGGCGGUUGGUGAUGCCUUCUGUCUGUUGUGUUGAUUUUAGGGAAGCUUGUUGCAGGAGUGUUGGUGUGUUUGGUACCCUGCUAAUGGGUUUUGUAACAAGAUUUUGGAUAAGCUCUCUCUUUCCCUGCUCUUUUUUUUGCUGUUUCUUUAAAAAUGAUUUUCUCUACUUGUUCUCUAAUUUACCAUAUCAUUUUGUGUCGAAUCUAGGAUUCUGGUGAUUCAGAGGUGUGGCCAAAACUUAGGUCUCUGUCCUCAAGAUCAAAGGCUAGUACAUUAUUAUAGAGGGGGAUUUAUCUUCUUACUAUGCUUAUCAUUCUUUAUUUUUUUGGCUUGAGCAUUUUACAGGUUUUAGUACUUUUUGAUGUCUGCAGACUAUUAUAAAUAUAAUCUAGUUUUUUUGUAAAUCUUUUCUUCCAUAGUCCACCAUGUUUGUAGAAAUGUUAUGCAUUAUUGUUUUGUCAGUAAUUGCUUGGAAGUCUUGUGUUCCUGAUCCUCAAGGAAAAGGUAUCACUGCUUAAUCCCAGCGAUUAAUGGUUGAACACCUUCGACCUGCCCAUUCAAUUCACAUGCACCCAUUUUGCUGCUUAUCCCAUGCCUUCUUUAUCUCUGGGGAAUGGUUCUCAGAUGCUUAGGAUCUUACCAGUUUGGCGAUUUUGAUCUUCUGAAGUAUUUCUUAGUGCUGAAAUUCUGCCACUAAACAUGUUUUAAGGUAGGUUCUGGUGUUUUGGUGGUUCAUCAUGAUCUGAAGUUUAUGCUUGUUAUAUGAAUAGGUUUGGGGUUAUGGUAGGUAAUCUAAAUUUGUAAAAAGCUGGUGUUAUUGGUUCAUUCCAUUGUCAGUUCUCAUCUGUGUCGAAUUUUGAAUUUUUGUUGGCUUUUUGUGUUGCUUUCCGCAGUCAAAGGGAGGUCUCUGGGAUGUGUCUCUUCGUGAAUAAAUUGGAUGGGUCUGAAUGUAAUGAAAAUCUGGAGCUUUUACCUGGACCUCCAGGUGGUGUUUUUUGUUUGCUUUAGGUGAUGUUGCUAUAGGUGGUGGCUCUGGGCUUCCAGAAGUUUCUCUGUGGUGUUGAUUAAGAAUUGAUCAUGAAGGCCUGCACUUUCUUGCACUUUUGCAGUAUGUUGUGUACUUCAUGAAUGGUACUUGUUCUUUUCUUUUUCUAAGAUUGUCUCUUCUUUUCUGGUUCUUUUGGUGUGGUUGUCUUAGAAUGGUGGAGUUCUGCAUGGGCAAAAAGUGCUCUCUUCUCUUGGAUGGAUGUGGUAAAUCAGGAGUUCUCUUGUUUGUUCUGUUUGCCGUGAGAUCACUGGUGUUUGUUGGUAAUGGCUUCUCUCGUCUUCAUUUUAGGAUAGCUUGGAUCAAAGCAUUGUUAUCAUGUUUGUUACUGUGCUAUUCUGGGCGAAAAGAUUUUGGAGGAGCUCUCUCUUUCCCUACUUGUUUUCUGUUGUUUCCUUGAAUUGAGUGAGAGAUCUCUGGAUGGUAGAUCUGCUCUGUCUUAUAAUUUCCUAUAUUACUAGGGCCUUCAGUGAAGGUGGUUCAACUUACCUCUCCAUUCUCGGAUCAAGGGCUAGUAAACUUAUUUGGAGGGAAGUUAUUUUCUCACCUAUACUAAUUUAUCUUUUGUGCAUGAGGAAUUUAGGGGUUUUGACACUAUAUUUUUCUGUUAAUAUUUUCUUAUUCUGUCUCCAUUAUUUGGUCUGGUGGUAAUCCCUGCAGAGUUGACUUUCCUGAUCCAUGAGAAAUAGAUUGAGGUAUAACCAAGUGUAUAUCUCUGCUUAUUCUCAACUUUUUUUUUUCUAAACCAUCUACGAAUUGUCUUCUCUCCAUUCAAUUCACCUAAGUUAUUGUACCCUAUUGUUCUUUUCUUGUGUUUCGUAUUUUGAUGGAUUAGCUUAGUCCAGGACUUCUCUUUGGGGAUGGCUCUGCGGUGCUUGGUAUCUAACGGGUAUUAAAUUCUGUCAUCUAACAUGUCUGUAUAGGUAGUGUUUUUUGAUGGUGCUGAUUCGUCUUGGUCUGAAGAAGAUUGAAUGCUACAUUUAUCAGUUCUGAUAAUAUUCUAGAUGAUCUACAAUUUUUAUUUCAUCUUUGUGCCAAGUUCAAGUCUCUGUUGGCUAUUCAUGUUUUCACUCACUCGCAGAAUUCUAAUGAGGGUGGUGACUGAAUAUGGGCUUUUGGAGGUGAUGAUUCUUAAAAAUUGUUGGAUGGAUGUGAAGUAAUAUGUAAUUUGGAGUUUUGCUUUCUGCAUCAUUGUUGCAUUGCUAUAGGCAGUUGCUUUACUGUUUGUUCCGAUCUUGGUGAUGUUUCAAGAUUUCGUUUCCUCGGGUUCUGGUUCUUUUGAUGUUGUCUUUCAGGAACAGUGGACUUCUGGUUUGCGGAGGGUAGAAGAGCUUUUAUUUGGAUGGAUGUGAAUUAAAUUGGGAGUUUUUCUUGCCAACGUGGUCUUUGUUUGUUCUCUUUCCUUGAAAAUUCACUGGGGGUAUUUGGUGACGGUUUCUAUCUGUUGUCUUGAUUUUAGGGGAAGCUUGAACCGGGACUAUUGGCCAUGUUUGGGAUCCUGGUUUUGUGAUAAGAUUUUGGAUGAGCUUUUCUCUUUCCCAACUUUUUUUUCUAUUUUUUUUGUUCAUUUUCUUGAAAAAUGAUUUUCUCGCUGUUCUUUAAUUUACUAUAUUAUUUUUUGUGAGUCUAGGCUUCCAGUGACUUGGAGGUGUGGCGAAGACUUAAGGUCUCUAUUGUCAGAUCAAAGGCUAGUACAUUGUUUUGGAGGGUGUUCGUCUACUCUUACCAUUCCUUUCCGCUUGGGAUGUGAAGCCCAUGUUCCUGAUCCUCAUUUAAGAGAGCAGUGAUUUGCGUAUCACUGCUUAAUCCCAACUGUUAAUUGUGCUGUUGACCUGCCCAUUUAAUUCACUUGCACCUAUUUUGCUUCUCUAUAGUUUCUGAUUAGCUUUAUCCAGGCCCUUUCUUUAUUUGGGGAUUGUUUUCUUGUAAACUAUCUAAUUCUGCCAUUGAACAUGCAUGUAUUGGCGGUUCCUGGUGUUUUGAUGAUUCAUCAUGAUCUGAAAAGAAUUAACAUUAUGCUUGGUAUAUUAAUUAGUUUUGAUGGUAUGUAUAUAACCUAAAUUUCUGGAUGGUUGGGAUUAAUGGACAGCUCUGAUAAUGGACAGCUCUGAUAUUGGUUUUCAUCUUGGUGUCGAGUUUUAAGUUGGGUUCUGAUGUCCUGGUACUCCCUUGCACAACUGUAGUCCUAGCGAGAGGAUUGUGAAGAAAUAGGGGUCUCUUGAUGAUUAUGUUAUUCAGAUAUCCACGAUAUUGUGGUUUGAAUCAUGGAAUCUCUCUUCAUGCCAUCUUGUUAUUGUGUUUGUUGAAAACAUCACUGAUGGCAUUAGUCAUGCUUUAUAAUCUGUUUAAUUUUGGCAGAUUGGAUUUAGGAGUUUUGGUCAUGGUAUUGUUCUUAAGUAACAGGUUCAAGAUAUAUGUUAUAGGCCUUAUGGAAUUGAAUAUAAGGUGGGAUGACGGUUCACAUAUACUUCUUCAAUUCUUUAGCUUUUGAUGGAUGAAUUCUGAAUUACUCAUGAUGGUCGUCCAACUAUGCUGUGUUUUCAGCAUUUUUACUAUUGAGUUCAUAAAGUAUUUGAAAGAAUAAAGGGUGCAUGGAAAUAUUUGGUUUGGCAUGUUCUUCAGGGUGCAUAGAAAUAAUUGGUUUGUCAUGUUCUUCUCAGGGUUCAGUACAAGUUUUUGGAAAAUUCUGCUGACGUCAAUUAGCUUCUUCAUCUGUCAAAAUUCUCUCUGUUGCUGUUUGAUGUUAUUGCUGUAGACUGACGGGGUGAAUUAUCAGAAUUAGGGGAUGCAAAGAAGAACUUCAAUUUAUGGUUCACAUGAUCCUGAUUGAUUUUGCACAUGUUGAAUGUGAUGUUGCAUAACUGGUUUCCAUUUAGGGAGUUUGAAUUCAAGAAUCUCUGGUCAUUUUGUUACCUUUUGUUACCUGGUAUUGUGGUCUACAUGAUUUCGAAGGAGUUCCUCGCUCGUGUGAUUGUGCCUGGUUUUCUUUGUAUAGCACUAUAGUUUUUUAAAUUAUGGCAUUCAAUUUCAGGAAGAGCUGGGGGUUGAACUCGGAUGAAUGAUUUUAAGCCUGAAUUUCUGCAUUAUUAAUCCAUACUAGUUGCAUACUACUGAUCACCAAGAAAUCGAAACAGACGUAGAGGUUUCUUAUCCUGAUCAUUUGUAAUGGAUAUGUUUUGAGCGCAAUUGCAGUGUCAUUUGUUUGUCCAGGUUUAUUCAUGACGGUGUUGUCAAUAUACUUUGAAGUUGCAGAUUCUGCUUUGAUAGCAUGAGAGGAGUUUUGGUUGUCUUUAGCGAAGUUUUGUAUAUUCUAUAGCAAGCAUUUUUAUUCCAUUGAAUUUAAGACAUCUUUACCUCAACCAGUUCUUGAGUUCAAUAUCCAGAAAUUGGGAUUUCUAUUUGUCUCUCCUUUCAAGUUGUAUAGAUGGUGAAGAUGUAGCGCUUCCUAGUCUACCUGGAAUUUGAUUGACAACUUUGAAUGUGGAAAGAAACUUCUGAUAGACUCUGGGGUGCAGCCUAAGAUGUAACUCAGUAUGGAUUAUCAAGUUCAUGGUCAUGGUCAAGUUGUUGGUAUAUUUCUUGCCGCCUCUAUCAUUCUUGGGCUUUUGGUGUGUUGUGGCUUUUGGUGUGUUGUAACUGGUACGCCCACUAUUAUAGACGAGGUCAGAAAUCCGCAGUGGUCCUAUCACCAUUGAAUACUUGCUGCUAGCCUCCAUUAUCUAUAAUUGAAUGGAAGAAAACAUUUGGUUAUUCCACUUGUAAGCAGAUGCUGGUUCAGUCAUGUUAGAACAGAUGCAUGCAAUAUCUGUUUUGGAAGUCAUCGACUUACAUACCACUGGUAUUGCUAUUGGUAUUGUUUAGUCAUGUAAGAACAGAUGCAAUAUCUGUUUUUGUAGUCAUCAACUUGCAAACCACUGGUACUGGUAUUGUUUGUGAAUUUCAUUUCAUACUUGAAUUUUGUGAUCCCCUGGUACAUGGGUUUAGUAUGCAAUUUGAAGUGGCAUGUAACUGAAUUUUGUUUUCUUUAGGGAGAAGUUAUUGGACAAUAUUUUCUUAUGGCCUUGACAGAUAUGGUGUGGCAUUAUGAGGUCCAAUUUAAGAUCUGCAAUAGUUGUAUGCAUUGCUGUUUUGGGAGGGGGUUGCAUCUUAACAGGCCCUGGCACAGGUGUAUGUUCAUAGAACCAUUUUGUAAAUGAUUGAGAAAUUGAGAGGAAUCCAAAUGCCUUGUUUUCAAGUAUCGAAAUUCAUUAAUUUGUUUGAAGUGUGGAUUCAUGAUUUCGUUGGAUUCAUGAAAUGAGUGUGUUCCAGGCAACCUUGUCAUUUGCUGUGGACGAUUUUAUCUGUGCAGCUUAAGCCCCUUGAAUGCUAUAGAAAAUUAACUGUCGCCUAAUAGUUUCACACGGUAGUAGAUCUCCUAAUUUGGAAGUUCAUAACUGAGGGGUGGUAACUUAGUUGAUUUAUAGGUUAACCCUGCUGCAGUUUAAGGGUAAGAUUUGGUAUGAAAACAAGUGAAGAAAGUUGGGCGGUUGUAAUCGUGGUAUAUGUUUGGUCAGGUAACCUCAAGGUUGUCUAAUGGGAUUCAAGGCCCCCUCCAUAUGGAGACACACACACCCAGCCACCCAAAAAAAGAAAAAAAAA